GUCGGUGGCAAACAAGCAUACAUCCCGCCUGAUGGUAAGCGGUGACCGUACCCUAUGUACAGUCAGCGUCAAAUACUUUGUAGCAGUCAAAGUGGCCAAAUAGUUCGGUACACCAUACUAAAUAUAUGGUGUACCGAACUAUUUGGCUACAUUGGUUGCUACAAAGUAUUUGACGCUGACUGUAC